AAUGGUGCUCGUUAUAGGAUCAAGUGAAUAAGUGCAUGUGAUGGAUGCCUUGGCGAUUACAGGCGAUGAAGGACGUUGUAGCCUGCGAUAAGCUUCGGGGAGCUGGCAAACAAGCUUUGAUCCGAAGAUUUCCGAAUGGGGAAACCCGCCGCUUUUGCGGCACCCACAUCUGAAUACAUAGGGUGUGUGGAGCGAACCUCGUGAACUGAAACAUCUAAGUAGCGAGAGGAAAAGACAUCAACCGAGAUUCCCAAAGUAGUGGCGAGCGAAAUGGGAACAGCCUUCUAGUGAUAGCACAACAUUUAGCAGAACGGAAUG
rnacentral:rRNA from 1 species